UGUGGCCUACGGGAGGCAGCAGUGGGGAAUAUUGGGCAAUGGGCGCAAGCCUGACCCAGCAACGCCGCGUGAAGGAAGAAGGCUUUCGGGUUGUAAACUUCUUUUCUCGGGGACGAAGAAAGUGACGGUACCCCUUGAAUAAGCCACGGCUAACUACGUGCCAGCAGCCGCGGUAAUACGUAGGUGGCAAGCGUUGUCCGGAUUUACUGGGUGUAAAGGGCGUGCAGCCGGGCCGACAAGUCAGAUGUGAAAUCCGCGGGCUUAACCCGCGAACUGCAUUUGAAACUAUUGGUCUUGAGUACCGG
rnacentral:rRNA from 1 species